UUCUAACCCCAUACUCCAGCUACUUGACCUGUGAACAAGGAGAAUGGAGAGGGAAUAUUAAGUGUUUAAAGCCCUGUACAGUGACUCUGGAGGAAAUGGAAAGAAGAGGUAUAGACUUGGUCUAUGUUAAUCCACAAAAGAUGUUCGCACCCCAUAAUGAUCACAUCAGCUUUGCGUGUCAGUGGGGCAAAUAUUCAGUAGGUGUUCCCCUGAGACAACAGUGUAAUGAUGGAGUGAUGACUUUACCUGAGUGUGAGUGAUGGUGAGAAUAAAUCAUUGCUGAAGCUACAAAAACAAAUGUAGCUAAUAAAAAAACAUAUAUUGUUCUCAA